rnacentral:rRNA from 1 species
AUUAGAUCUCAAAUCAGGUAGGA